GCGAUCGAUCAUAGAAUCAAAGAAACGUCUCGCAGACGAUAUCGGGACCCGCUGCCAGCGGAAUUACUGGGAGCAUUGUGAGCGCACGCGGCAACCUGUAACGCGACCGCGAACGGGACAAUCUCACGCGAGAAAUUAUCGGAAAGAUCAACCUCUUGACCUCUAAUAUCGUAUCUAAGUCGAGCUACAUUUCAAAUAAAAUUUGACAGAAGUAAAUGUUAUUCAAUUCUUUUGGGUUGGAGUUCAAUGUUGUUGUUCUGUUAUCAAUAUUUAUGCUUUGAAGUGAAUAUCGAUGUAGAUGGAAUUCUUCGUUUGCAGUGAAUUAUGGAUGACAAAGUAAUUCUAGUGAGUGCUGGUGUGAAAUAAAUUAUUCAAUUGUUUGAGUGCAACGUGUGAACAAUUUUGCAGAGGAUGGUGCAAUUCGAAGAGUUUGACAUAUGAAAAUGUCAUUUUCUAUUUCUAAUUACUUUCUUUGGAUAUGGACCCCAUGUUCUCAAGUUUCCUAAGGUAUAAUUUACUGCACAGACUCGGAAAACUGGCAGGAACGGAAGGCUGCGAUACUUUCUCACGCACGACGGAAGCCGACAAUUCAACGACGGGAAAGUUAAUCGCAGGAAAGCACGUGUCCUCGCGGCCCCUGACCGAGAUACGGUGCGGAUCCGUGAAGCAUCCGAGGAAGAGGCGCGAAUCUCCUCGAGGAAUGCGGCGAAUGCAACGACUGCACCGGCCCCUAAUGACCGCCAUUCACCGGCACCCUCUUCCAACUUUUUCAUCGGAUCAGCCGUCCCGAAAGCGCGGCCGAAUGUUAUUCGAGCCCCAGAAUCAUUGGAAGUCUCGAUGGUUUUCGAGUGCUUCCCCGAGGACCCUCAAGCCUUUACUCGCUUUCCAGGCCGCGGACACGAAAUAUGCGAAUUUUAUGUCUACUUUUCCCUCGACCCACCCCCCGCACCGCUUCGCCGCCCUGAAUCAUUCAUUUCGCUACCGGAUACGACCGUCUCUCUCCUUUCUCAGUAAUUUUGUAACCGGGGGAAAAUGUUUCGUCGCCGGAAACGUUGAUCGAUCGAGGAUUUUAUGCGACAUUCUUGAGGUUUUAUCUUCCUUGGAACGCGAUUAACCCUUCGCGGGGAUUUUCUGACGAUAUUAAAGCUUUUAGCGUAGAAAGACGCAUUACAGAUCGAAUUUUUGAAUGUUACGAAACGAAGAGAAGCUAAUCUUCCGUUAUUAUAACAACUGAAUUAUUUUACUUAUGUUUGUAUAGAUCAUUAACGUUAAAACUACCCAGCGUUUGAUAUGAUUAUAAAACUUGUAACAAUAGAUUUAUUUUCGGUGUCAUCGUAUACUCGUUACAGUAUUCAAGCGAAACUAUUUCUCAAACCAAUCUGGAGGUUCAACACUUUCAAACCAUCAAUAAUCGGGAAAUAAGAAAACUGAAAUCCGUCAUUUCGACGGGUGCGGUAUCUCUAUGUUAAUAUCGUGACACUGAAACAUCCAUUGUGUUUUUCGAUGCGAUUCGUUUCAACUGGAUCAGAAUAUGAACGGAUAUGCCGAAAAUUGGAAUUAAGGGACAGUUACGGAAAUGUAUGUAUGUGGAUUGCAACUCAGCAGAAUAAUCACGUUCGAAUAAUUUAUAUAAGCCGCAAUUAAUCAUUUUACCUUCUUUCGCGAAUUCAUGAAACUCGAAUCGAGAACAGCAUUAUACACAAGCGGAACAUGCGAAACGUCCCAGAAUUUUGUCCGGUUGUUUUAUAACAGAAUGUAAACAUACCGGUUUGUGUUCCAUUUCGCCGUUCCGCGAUUCAACGUGAAAUCACUCUGUGAACGGAGGGUCGGGAGCAAGCGGGGGCCAAGCUCGUAAUCCGAGCGGUCGUUUUGUAUCGAAAUUAUAUUGAACCGAGCAGUCGGUUAUCCUCGUUUUCAUAUAUAACAUCGGAAAGCGUAUUAUUAAAUUUGGCCCACUGUUUUCGUUUCGACCGGCCGACAAAUUUAUCUACGCCAUUCGUGUAUCGGACAGACGAUCCGCGAACGUAACGCAUUUACUUUUGAACCCUAUUGUCGUCGAUUUCGUUGAAUUACCCAAACAAAGGGAAAAAGAGAACAAAGUGUAUUUUUACCGAUAUUCGUUACCUAACAGCACGAUUGACAUUUCGAAUACCAAUUGUACAAUUUUGAACCUGAAAUAGUAUGUUUAUUUUCUCACUCGUUAUAUAAGAAUGAAGAAUUUUAGGUAAUAAUGGCUCACGGGAGGCGAAAGUAAAACCUUCACGCUUUAUAAUGAGUUAAGGAAGAAUAUUGUAUAACUUUCUGAACAAAGUUACUGGAGUUCGA